UGAGUAACCUGCCCUUGACUCUGGGAUAAGCGUUGGAAACGACGUCUAAUACCGGAUACGACCCUCGGAGGCAUCUCCUGAGGGUGGAAAGAAUUUCGGUCAAGGAUGGACUCGCGGCCUAUCAGCUAGUUGGUGAGGUAACGGCCCACCAAGGCGACGACGGGUAGCCGGCCUGAGAGGGUGACCGGCCACACUGGGACUGAGACACGGCCCAGACUCCUACGGGAGGCAG
rnacentral:rRNA from 1 species